GAUUAAGAACGUAGCGAAAUGCGAUAAGUAAUGUGAAUUGCAGAGUUCAGUGAAUCAUCGAAUCUUUGAACGCACAUUGCGCCCGCCAGUAUUCUGGCGGGCAUGCCUGUCUGAGCGUCAUUUCAACCCUCAUGCCCCUAGGGCGUGGUGUUGGGGAUCGGCCAAAGCCCGCGAGGGACGGCCGGCCCCUAAAUCUAGUGGCGGACCCGUCGUGGCCUCCUCUGCGAAGUAGUGAUAUUCCGCAUCGGAGAGCGAUGAGCCCCUGCCGUUAAACCCCCAACUUUCCAAGGUUGACCUCAGAUCAGGUAGGAAUACCCGCUGAACUUAAGCAUAUCAAUAAGCGGAGGA
rnacentral:misc_RNA from 1 species